UGUGUAGGCGGUUGGAUAAGUGUGGUGUGAAAUCUCCCGGCUCAACUGGGAGGGUGCGCUACAAACUGUCUGACUAGAGUGUGGGAUGGGAAAGUGGAAUUCCUGGUGUAGCGGUGAAAUGCGUAGAUAUCAGGAGGAACACCGGUGGUGUAGACGGCUUUCUGGACCAUAACUGACGCUGAGACACGAAAGCGUGGGUAGCAAACA
rnacentral:rRNA from 1 species